UAGGUAACCUGCCCCGGAGCGGGGGAUAACAUUUGGAAACAGAUGCUAAUACCGCAUAACAACAAAAGCCACAUGGCCUUUGUUUGAAAGAUGGCUUUGGCUAUCACUCUGGGAUGGACCUGCGGUGCAUUAGCUAGUUGGUAAGGUAACGGCUUACCAAGGCGAUGAUGCAUAGCCGAGUUGAGAGACUGAUCGGCCACAAUGGAACUGAGACACGGUCCAUACUCCUACGGGAGGCAGCAG
rnacentral:rRNA from 1 species